AACACUGUUAACCUGCGGUACCUGCGGAAGGAUCAUUACUGAGUUUUCAACUCUCCAAACCAUGUGAACUUACCACUGUUGCCUCGGUGGUUAGUGCCCUGCUUCGGCGGGGUGCUGCCGCCGGCGGACAAACUAAACUCUUGUCAACUUUGUCAAAUCUGAAUCUAAACUAAGAAAUAAGUUAAAACUUUUAACAACGGAUCU
rnacentral:misc_RNA from 1 species